GUAGGGAAUAUUGCGCAAUGGGGGAAACCCUGACGCAGCGACGCCGCGUGAGUGAUGAAGGCCUUCGGGUCGUAAAGCUCUGUUGCAGGGGAAUAAAAAAAUGAAGGUACCCUGUGAGGAAGGAUCGGCUAACUUCGUGCCAGCAGCCGCGGUAAGACGAGGGAUCCUAGCGUUGCUCGGAAUCAUUGGGCGUAAAGAGGGCGUAGGUGGCUUGGUAAGUCAGGUGUGAAAGCCCAGGGCUCAACCCUUGAAGUGCAUUUGAUACUGCUGAGCUUGAGUGUCGGAGAGGUUACCGGAAUACCUGGUGUAGUGGUGAAAUACGUAGAUAUCAGGUGGAACACCGGAGGCGAAGGCGGGUAACUGGACGAACACUGACACUGAGGCCCGAAAGCGUGGGGAUCAAACAGGAUUAGAAACCCGUGUAGUCC
rnacentral:rRNA from 1 species